rnacentral:ncRNA from 1 species
UUACACUCCGAGUUUUAAAGCCUAAACCGUACAGGCAUGGCUUUUAAACCGCGGGUAAUGCGGGAAACUGCACUGCCUUCCGUUUUGAAAAGGAGACAGAUAA